rnacentral:rRNA from 1 species
AUGCACUUUCCAGUAACAGCUUCGGUAGCCGGUCAACAUGAGCCGCAAAUGCCCGCGCUAAGCGCGAAUGGCCAGAUCUGUGCAAGGGAUGGUGGGUUGGAUGCUGGGCGGGAAGGUUCACUGCGGGCGUCGGAGCAUUUGGUUGGCAAACUGAACCCGAAAGCUCCUGGGUGGGACUCAGAGGCCUGCUUUGGUUAUUGGGGUGACAUAGAAAUGGUCGAGAGGUACUGGCAAUGGAGGUGCACGUUCAGCUUCUUUCUCGUAUCUAUAGAUAUGGAAGACCUUGCUGGAAACACAGUGGUGGAGCUAGGCCGGCAUCAGGCUCCAUGCCACCUCAGGCCAUCUUCAAGCACUAUAGAUGUUAGUAAUCUAGAAUAG